GAGGAAUAUUGGUCAAUGGGCGCAAGCCUGAACCAGCCAUCCCGCGUGAAGGAUGAAGGUCCUAUGGAUUGUAAACUUCUUUUAUACACCAAGAAAAAUCCGAACGUGUUCGGACCCGACGGUAGUGUAUGAAUAAGCAUCGGCUAACUCCGUGCCAGCAGCCGCGGUAAUACGGAGGAUGCAAGCGUUAUCCGGAUUCAUUGGGUUUAAAGGGUGCGUAGGCGGCUUUUUAAGUCAGUGGUGAAAUCCUGCCGCUUAACGGUAGAAUUGCCAUUGAUACUGAAGAGCUUGAGUACAAUUGAGGUAAGCGGAAUGUGUAGUGUAGCGGUGAAAUGCUUAGAUAUUACACAGAACACCAAUUGCGAAGGCAGCUUACUAAACUGUUACUGACGCUGAUGCACGAAAGCGUGGGGAGCGAAC
rnacentral:rRNA from 1 species